CACAUGCAAGUCGAGGGGCAGCAUCAUCAAAGCUUGCUUUGAUGGAUGGCGACCGGCGCACGGGUGAGUAACACGUAUCCAACCUGCCGACAACACUGGGAUAGCCCUUCGAAAGAAAGAUUAAUACCGGAUGGCAUAAUUAUUCCGCAUGGGAUAAUUAUUAAAGAAUUUCGGUUGUCGAUGGGGAUGCGUUCCAUUAGGCAGUUGGCGGGGUAACGGCCCACCAAACCUACGAUGGAUAGGGGUUCUGAGAGGAAGGUCCCCCACAUUGGAACUGAGACACGGUCCAAACUCCUACGGGAGGCAGCAGUGAGGAAUAUUGGUCAAUGGACGAGAGUCUGAACCAGCCAAGUAGCGUGAAGGAUGACUGCCCUAUGGGUUGUAAACUUCUUUUAUACGGGAAUAAAGUUAGCCACGUGUGGCUUUUUGUAUGUACCGUAUGAAUAAGGAUCGGCUAACUCCGUGCCAGCAGCCGCGGUAAUACGGAGGAUCCGAGCGUUAUCCGGAUUUAUUGGGUUUAAAGGGAGCGUAGGCGGGUUGUUAAGUCAGUUGUGAAAGUUUGCGGCUCAACCGUAAAAUUGCAGUUGAUACUGGCGACCUUGAGUGCAACAGAGGUAGGCGGAAUUCGUGGUGUAGCGGUGAAAUGCUUA
rnacentral:rRNA from 1 species